ACGUACCACUCGUACACUGCGGUUCCUCAGCGCCGUCUGCACCCUGCUGACCGCCGCUCGCCACGUACGUCAGCC
rnacentral:sRNA from 1 species